UACAGAGGUCCCAAGCGUUGCUCGGAUUCACUGGGCGUAAAGGGUGCGUAGGUGGCGGGGUAAGUCGGAUGUGAAAUCUCCGAGCUCAACUCGGAAAUGGCAUUGGAAACUACCCUGCUUGAGGGUUGGAGGGGGGACUGGAAUACUUGGUGUAGCAGUGAAAUGCGUAGAUAUCAAGUGGAACACCAGUGGCGAAGGCGAGUCCCUGGACAACUCCUGACACUGAGGCACGAAAGCUAGGGGAGCAAACAGG
rnacentral:rRNA from 1 species